rnacentral:rRNA from 1 species
GACGAACCGAGCGAACGUUGUUCGGAAUCACUGGGCUUAAAGGGCGCGUAGGCGGGUGCUCAAGUCCGUGGUGAAAUCCUCCGGCUCAACCGGAGAACUGCCUCGGAUACUGGGUGCCUCGAGGGUGGUAGGGGUAUGCGGAACUAUCGGUGGAGCGGUGAAAUGCGUUGAUAUCGAUAGGAACUCCGGUGGCGAAGGCGGCCCGCUGGGCAGGAAGACACCGCAAGGUGUCGGCUGACGCUGAGGCGCGACAGCGUGGGGAGCAAACAGG